rnacentral:rRNA from 1 species
AGCGAACGCUGGCGGCAGGCCUAACACAUGCAAGUCGAACGAACUCUUCGGAGUUAGUGGCGGACGGGUGAGUAACACGUGGGAACGUGCCCUUUGGUACGGAAUAACUCAGGGAAACUUGAGCUAAUACCGUAUGUGCCCUUCGGGGGAAAGAUUUAUCGCCAUUGGAGCGGCCCGCGUCUGAUUAGCUAGUUGGUGAGGUAAAGGCUCACCAAGGCGACGAUCAGUAGCUGGUCUGAGAGGAUGAUCAGCCACAUUGGGACUGAGACACGGCCCAAACUCCUACGGGAGGCAGCAGUGGGGAAUCUUGCGCAAUGGGCGAAAGCCUGACGCAGCCAUGCCGCGUGAAUGAUGAAGGUCUUAGGAUUGUAAAAUUCUUUCACCGGGGACGAUAAUGACGGUACCCGGACAAGAAGCCCCGGCUAACUUCGUGCCAGCCGCCGCAGUAACAC